rnacentral:rRNA from 1 species
GAAAGGCGUAGUCGAUGGGAAAAUGGUUAAUAUUCCAUUACUUCUGUGUAAUGCGAUGAGAGGACGGAGAAGGCUAAAUCAGCCUGGCGUUGGUUGUCCAGGUGAAAGGAUGUAGGCAUGUAUCUUAGGCAAAUCCGGGGUACUCUAUGCUGAGAUCUGAUAGCAAGCUGUACUUGUACAGCGAAGUGGUUGAUGCCAUGCUUCCAGGAAAAGUCUCUAAGCUUCAGUUACACAGGAAUCGUACCCGAAACCGACACAGGUGGUCAGGUCGAGUAGACCAAGGCGCUUGAGAGAACUCUGCUGAAGGAACUAGGCAAAAUGGUACCGUAACUUCGGGAGAAGGUACGCUGUUGUUGGUGAUGGAACUUGCUUCCUGAGCUGACGACAGCCGCAGAAACCAGGCCGCUGCAACUGUUUAUUAAAAACAUAGCACUCUGCAAACACGAAAGUGGACGUAUAGGGUGUGAUGCCUGCCCGGUGCUGGAAGGUUAAUUGAUGGGGUUAGCGUAAGCGAAGCUCUUGAUCGAAGCCCCAGUAAACGGCGGCCGUAACUAUAACGGUCCUAAGGUAGCGAAAUUCCUUGUCGGGUAAGUUCCGACCUGCACGAAUGGCAUAAUGAUGGCGGCGCUGUCUCCAGCAGAGGCUCAGUGAAAUCGAAAUCGCUGUGAAGAUGCAGUGUACCCGCGGCUAGACGGAAAGACCCCGUGAACCUUUACUGCAGCUUGACACUGAACUUUGACCUUACUUGUGUAGGAUAGGUGGGAGGCUUUGAAGCUGGAACGCUAGUUCCAGUGGAGCCGUCCUUGAAAUACCACCCUGGUAAUGUUGAGGUUCUAACUCUGUCCCGUGAUCCGGGACGAGGACCGUGUCUGGUGGGUAGUUUGACUGGGGCGGUCUCCUCCUAAAGAGUAACGGAGGAGUACGAAGGUGCGCUCAGCGUGGUCGGAAAUCACGCGUAGAGUAUAAAGGCAAAAGCGCGCUUAACUGCGAGACCCACAAGUCGAGCAGGUACGAAAGUAGGUCUUAGUGAUCCGGUGGUUCUGUAUGGAAGGGCCAUCGCUCAACGGAUAAAAGGUACUCUGGGGAUAACAGGCUGAUACCGCCCAAGAGUUCAUAUCGACGGCGGUGUUUGGCACCUCGAUGUCGGCUCAUCUCAUCCUGGGGCUGAAGCAGGUCCCAAGGGUAUGGCUGUUCGCCAUUUAAAGAGGUACGCGAGCUGGGUUUAGAACGUCGUGAGACAGUUCGGUCCCUAUCUACCGUGGGCGCUGGAAAUUUGAGAGGAUCUGCUCCUAGUACGAGAGGACCAGAGUGGACGAACCUCUGGUGUACCGGUUGUGACGCCAGUCGCAUCGCCGGGUAGCUAUGUUCGGAAGGGAUAACCGCUGAAAGCAUCUAAGCGGGAAGCCUACCUCAAGAUAAGAUUUCCCUAGGACUUUAUGUCCUCUAAAGAGCCGUUCGAGACUAGGACGUUGAUAGGUUGGAUGUGGAAGCAUAGUGAUAUGUGAAGCUGACCAAUACUAAUUGCUCGUGAGGCUUGACUA